rnacentral:rRNA from 1 species
AAACCAACAGGGAUUGCCUCAGUAGCGGCGAGUGAAGCGGCAAGAGCUCAGAUUUGAAAUCGUGCUUUGCGGCACGAGUUGUAGAUUGCAGGUUGGAGUCUGUGUGGAAGGCGGUGUCCAAGUCCCUUGGAACAGGGCGCCCAGGAGGGUGAGAGCCCCGUGGGAUGCCGGC